CCCCUCCCGCCUGCUCUCCUCUCUUCCCCUCCCCCUCCCAUGAAACCCUAGCCGUCGCGCCCGCACACCCCCUGCCGCCGCGCCGCUGCCGCCGUCGCUGGCGCUCGCCACGGCCCCCAUCCUCCACCUGACGCCGCCCAUCGUCUCCUCCCCACCCCCUCACACCUUCCUUCUCCUCCUCCCCAUCGGGGCUAAGCAGGAGAACGAGCACCCUCCCUCGCAACUGAGUCGACGGGAGAAUAGCUCGAGCCCCGGGGUUUGGGCGUGUUAGUGAGCGCGGCGGCGGCGGAGAGCAGCAGCAACAGGCGGCGCAGCUGCAGGCCUUGGGCAAGAUUCCUCCGACCCAAGCAGGCCUUGGGCAAGAUUCCAUCGACGGGGGAGCAGCGGGGAGAGGAACGUGAGGCCAUGGGGGAGGAAGAAGAUGGCCCCCCUCGUUCCCAAGGUUGGUCUUCGCGUGACGCUGGUUAAGGCUGGUCUGCUGCUGUCUGCAGGUGCUUGUGUUUCUGGGCGGUUCGUCCUGCUACCUCUUCGAUCAUCGCUCUACAGGUUGGUCUGCUGCUGUCUGCAGGUGCUUGUGUUUCUAGGCGGUUCGUCCUGCUGCCUCUUCGGUCAUCGCUCUACAGGUCACACUACAAGAAAUAUGCUAUCUUGUGACCUCCACUUUUGGUCACUGAAAGGUCACUGUUUUCAAUUUGUGACCUUUUUGUGACCAAAAAACGGAAGGUCAAAAGAUUUUACGACCAAUUAUUUUGGUCACUAGCAAUCCGACCACACCACGUCAGAUCCACCGUGGCAAGCUGACGUGGCAUAAUUACGACCAAAUGAAAAGAAUCCUCUAUGGUGUCGGAGAAAUGCUCUACAUGCUUGUGAUCUUUACUUUAUUUUUGAUAGAGGAGGACAUAAUUGGAGCCCAUGAAGGAUCUGAAUGGAGCAUAUGUAUGCAUGCUACGGUUCAUAGAUUUUAAGGGAACACCGCCCUGCCGAAAAGCUGACCAUUCGAGCUAGCCACACUGUGAAAGGGCCAAGCAAUAACAACCUGAUAUACAUCAGUUGACGAUGAAGAUCAGAUAUGUAACUUUAUCCAUAAGCUUAUUUGCUUCAGAGGUUUAUUGUACUGCUACAGUUUUCUCCACGGUACGGAAUCGAUGCUGGCGACCCCGCCGUUUCCACACCACCCCACGGAGGAGCACAACAGGAAGGGAUAUAGAGCGACAAAUCCUAUUUUACUGUCGUUUCCCGGUUUCCACAUCGCGGCGACUCGAUCCGCCGCUCUCGGCCACGGCGCUCCCGAAUGAGUCAGAUUUAUCGAGGGACAAGACUGGCAAGUGCUACUCCGUGUCGAUCUUCGAUCGAGGUAGGUAAGAUAUCCUUUCCCAUCCGUUCUUUUCUCUUGCUCUCUUCCAAGAUCUGUUACGCUUCUACAGCUAGGUUGUGGGAGCUAGGAAAAGUACAGGGCCGUUAAGAACAUGAGGCGCUCCCAUUCGGUCGACAAUGGAGGUUUUCUUCGUCCUUGCGAUAUCCAAUCUCCUGUCGCUAAGCAGACCCACGACACAUCCCCUCCUCGCCCCAAUCCCCUCUUCUUGACCAUUUGUGCCUUUAUGUUCUUAUAUUAUGUUAAUAAAACCAUGUACUAAUACUUUCGUUCUGGUAUUGCCAUUGGCAAAAGAAGUUUAAUACACCUGGGCGUUGUUUUGUUCUUGAUCAGAUGUAUGGACGCGCCUAUAACUAAACAUAAAAAUAGGAUAGACACUAAAUUGUUUAAAGCUGCAGAAAUUGAGAACUACACAGAAGCACACUGGACUAACAGUAUAUUUACUACCAUUUUUUCGUGAAUAGAGUAGGGACAAUAAGAUUUGUACUUGAUGUACAGAGUUUCAAUUCUCACAGUAUAUGAGUUGUAUUUGAUCUUUUAUAUGAUCUCAACUUUACUAUUCCUAGUGAAAGUAUGUUUUGCCAGAUUACUAUUAACGCAACUUUGUUUCUCCUAGAGCACUGGUAGCAACCACAUCAUGAAAGGGGCGACGAACGACGAUCCGAUAUGCAUCGCUGACAGCGAAGGGAUGAUAAUAUGCCAUAUAUCUCACAAGUUGUUUGCAUUAGGACUGUGCGAAGUGGCGCCUAUGAAAUUUAUCGACAAGGAAGUUGAAUGAAGCCACCUAUUAGUAUGCUUAGUAGCUAUGGCUCUGUAGCUCGGACGAGGAUUUAGAGCUCUCGGGUGCUCCGCGCCCCUAUAUGUACAAUACCAGGGAAAAAAAAUACCGAGAAAUUUGAAAAAAAAUCUGGGGUUUUGGGAUAUCAAACGUGGGUUACCGAUGUAUUCCCGUAUGAGGUUUGGUGAAAAAAAUACCAGGAAACGUGUUCGCGGCAAAAAAGACAAAAAUUUCCUAUGUAUAGCAAAACACUGUUUGUGUACAUUUUUUCCGAGCAGUAAUUCCUUCGCCACGGAUGCGUUUUUGGGUAUUUUUUCACGAAAUUUCGCACGGAAGUAGAUUGGGGGACCAGGUUUGACAUCCCGAAAAUUUAGAUUUUUUUUAUUUUCUGGGAAUUUUUUACGAAUAUUUUUCGUAUAGGGGUGUGGAGCACCCGAGAGCUCCUGUGUAUUUUCCUCUGUAGCUCUCCUUUAUAUGUUCCUAUUCUUAUUACUACUUCUCCUAUUAUCGUGCUUUUGGUAUCGAACUUCAAGUCGAGUGGCUGCACUUUUGGUUUUGAUCUUAAUGUCGAAUGGCUAUCUUUUGUAAUCUUACAAACGCACUUA